AGCAUGGCAAAUAUAAGCCGAGCUAGGUUUCUUGUUCUGUUUCUCUCAGUCAUAUCUCGUUCUCUUUCUAAAGCAACUGCGCAGUAGAAUGGUGUGGAUAAAAAGGUUCUUGUGCGUAGGGAUUACUGUAUCUAUGUAUAUUAGGGAUGGGCGACUAUCUCAAAAUGAUCGAUUCUGAAUUGCAACCUUUAAGAUCAAUUCACUAGAAAAUCGAACCGUGAAAAAUCAAUUCUAUGAAAAUCGAUUUAAAAAUAAUUGGACCUAAAAUGCAAUGCUUUAAUUCUUAUGGCACUUUAAAAUCGAUUUACAAGAAAUCCAAGAAAAUACCACUCCUGCAAUACGACUUCGUCGUCAAAUUUUGAUUUGAACUUUUGCAAUAUAUUUUCUAUGUGGUUUUCAUGUUUUUGAAGAUCUAGAGCAACUGAUGGCUGCAAAAAUUUUAAUGAACUUAAAAAUAUAUCAUCAAAUGGCAGCAUAUCAACUGCGCUUUUAAAAGCUGCUUGAUAAAAAUUCUGACAAUUUGUAUAAAAUUGUUUAAUUUUCUCGGAUUCCACGCACUCACUAAUAGUGGAUUUACUCUUGCAACCAAUAUUUAUAUCAUUCUGAGGUAGCAAAUUUCUUUCGUUGUAAGGAUCUACUUCAUGUAAAUUUACAUUAUUUACAAUAUUUAAUUUCAAAAAAUUACAUCCUAAAUCUUUUAAUAGGUCAUGACAUUGUUCUACCAUGGUGCUUAUAUCGGCUUGCUUACUUUGGAAAAUUGUAUUGUAUUGUGUUAUUAUUUUCAAACUGUAAUUUAAAAAUUCUAAAUAUGCUUUAGUGCACGUUGAAUUUAAAUCCUCAAGAAUUUCUGUGGCACAUGUAUUAUUUUGGUCUUCAAAAUAUAUUAAUAAAAUGUCCCAUUGUUCUAAUAGUUUCACGACACAUUCGCGCAUUGAUAACCAUUUAGUUUUUGAUGGUUCCUGCAUUCUAUGUCUCGAUGCAAACAUUUGUAAUUCCACCAAUUUAUGGUUGCUCUUCCCACUCUGGUCAGUAUAGUUAAAAAUGCGAUGCAUUAUUAUAUUUACACUAUUUGGGAUGAAUUUACACGCAUUAAUAGUAAUAAGAUUUAGCUUCUGACAAAUACAGGGAAUUGUAAUUA